GGAAGGAUCAUUACCGAAUCGUCAAACAUGGGUUGUUGCUGGCCCCCGAACGGGACAUGUGCACGCUCUGUUUACACAUCCACUCACACCUGUGCACCCUCUGUAGUUCUGUGGACCGGGAGACAUCGUCUUCCUUCCGUAGCUCUACGUCUUUACACACACACCGUAGCGACGUCUCAUGGAAUGUUUUUUCGCGUUUAACGCAAUACAAUACAACUUUCAGCAACGGAUCUCUUGGCUCUCGCAUCGAUGAAGAACGCAGCGAAAUGCGAUAAGUAAUGUGAAUUGCAGAAUUCAGUGAAUCAUCGAAUCUUUGAACGCACCUUGCGCCCCUUGGUUAUUCCUCGGAGCAUGCCUGUUUGAGUAUCAUGAACACCUCAACUCUCAUGGUCUUCCAUGACGAGCUUGGACUUUGGGGGUUUGCUGGCCUUGUGGCCGGCUCCUCUCAAAUGAAUCAGCUUGCCAGUGUUUGGCGGCGUCACGGGUGUGAUAACUAUCUACGCUCGCGGUCGUCCGCCAGGUAACCCUCAGCGAUGAAGGUUCAUUGGGGCUCAUAAACGUCUCUCCCCAGCGAGGACAACUUUUGAACGUUCGAUCUCAAAUCAGGUAGGACUACCCGCUGAACUUAAGCAUAUCAAUAAGCGGAGGAAAAGAAACUAACAAGGAUUCCCCUAGUAACUGCGAGUGAAGCGGGAAGAGCUCAAAUUUAAAAUCUG
rnacentral:rRNA from 1 species